UACGUAGGGGCCGAGCGUUGUCCGGAGUUAUUGGGCGUAAAGCGCGCGCAGGCGGCUUGGCGCGCCCGACGUGAAAGCCCCCGGCUUAACCGGGGAGAGUCGUCGGGGACGGCCGGGCUUGAGGGCGGGAGAGGGUGGUGGAAUUCCCGGUGUAGUGGUGAAAUGCGUAGAGAUCAGCAGGAAUACCCGUGGCGAAGGCGGCCCCCUGGGCCGUACCUGACGCUGAGGCGCGAAGGCUAGGGGAGCGAACGGG
rnacentral:rRNA from 1 species